AGGGGUGUAGCUCAGUGGCAGAGUUCCUGCCUCGCAUGCGGGAGGCCCUGAAUUCAAUCCUCAGUACUGCCA
rnacentral:tRNA from 1 species